rnacentral:rRNA from 1 species
AAAGAACUUUGAAGAGAGAGUUCAAGAGUACGUGAAACCGCCCAGAGGUAAACGGGUGGAUCCGCAAUGUCGGUCCGCGGAAUUCAGCGCGGCGCGCGGCCCGGGGCUUGUUCGUGUUCGGGAUCGCUCGAAGAACCGAACUCGCUAGCCUCGCCGGGCCCCGCCGCGUGCACUUUCCGCGGGCGGAGAGCCACAACCGGUUCGGCGUCGAUGAACUGUGCGCGGCGACAGGCCGGGAGGGUUGUAGGUGGGGGCGCUCGCUCGUGCCCACCAGCCUUCCCCGGUUAGCCGCCGCCGGACCGAGGGACCGCCUCGCGCCUUCGAGGCCACCUUUCCCCCCCUCCGGGCGAGUUCGACUGGGAGAGACUGGGCGACCGUGUCUCCCGACCGCUCGCCCGCGAUCGGCGCUGGGGCUGGCCGGGCGCGACCGAGGAGGGUUAGUGGCAAGUCUGUCGGCAUUCCACCCGACCCGUCUUGAAACACGGACCAAGGAGUCUAACAUGCGCGCGAGUCAUUGGGCGGUACGAAACCCAAAGGCGCAGUGAAAGCGAGGGCCGUCUCCGAGCGGCCCAGGUGGGAUCCUCUCCUCCACAUCAACCCUGGAGGGGUGGC